rnacentral:rRNA from 1 species
AUUGAACGCUGGCGGCAGGCCUAACACAUGCAAGUCGAACGAGUGGCGGACGGGUGAGUAAUGUCUGGGAAACUGCCUGAUGGAGGGGGCUAACUACUGGAAACGGUAGCUAAUACCGCAUACCAUCGGAUGUGCCCAGAUGGGAUUAGCUAGUCGGUGGGGUAACGGCUCACCUAGGCGACGAUCCCUAGCUGGUCUGAGAGGGUGACCAGCCACACUGGAACUGAGACACGGUCCGGACUCCUACGGGAGGCAGCAGUGGGGAAUAUUGCACAAUGGGCGCAAGCCUGAGGCAGCCACGCCGCGUGUAUGAAGAAGGCCUUCGGGUUGUAAAGUACUUUCAUCGGGGAGGCGUUACCCGCAGAAGAAGCACCGGCUAACUCCGUGCCAGCCGCCGCGGUAAUUC